AUUGAACGCUGGCGGCAUGCCUUACACAUGCAAGUCGAACGGUAACAGGUCUUCGGAUGCUGACGAGUGGCGAACGGGUGAGUAAUACAUCGGAACGUGCCUAGUAGUGGGGGAUAACUACUCGAAAGAGUGGCUAAUACCGCAUGAGAUCUACGGAUGAAAGCAGGGGAUCGCAAGACCUUGUGCUACUAGAGCGGCCGAUGGCAGAUUAGGUAGUUGGUGGGAUAAAAGCUUACCAAGCCGACGAUCUGUAGCUGGUCGGAGAGGACGAUCAGCCAAACUGGGACUGGGACACGGCUCAGACUCCUACGGGAGGCAGCAGGGGGGAAUUUUGGACAAUGGGCGAAAGCCUGAUCCAGCAAUGCCGCGUGCAGGAUGAAGGCCUUCGGGUCGUAAACUGCUUUUGUACGGAACGAAAAGCCCCGGGUUAAUACCCUGGGUCAUGACGGUACCGUAAGAAUAAGCACCGGCUAGCUACGUGCCAGCAGCCGCGGUAA
rnacentral:rRNA from 1 species